CGAGCGGGCGUUGAGCGGCUGAACGCCGUGAUUGUUUUAUUGCCCCAUGUUUGUCGUGUUCACAGAGGACAAGACACCACCAUCGUCGUCGUCGUCAGCUGAGAAGACAGACGACAAGAGCCAGAACAAGACAUCAUCGUCGUCAUCAUCAGCCGAGAAAGCAGACGACAAGAACCAGAACAAGACAUUGUCAGCCGGGAAGACAGGCGACGAGAGCCAGAACAAGACAUCGCCGUCGUCAGCCGAGAAGUCAGACGGCA